rnacentral:rRNA from 1 species
UUGCUAGCUUGCUAAUAAUUCUCUAGUGGCGCACGGGUGAGUAACACGUGAGUAACCUGCCCCCAAGAGUGGGAUAGCCCCGGGAAACUGGGAUUAAUACCGCAUAAAAUCGCAAGAUUAAAGCAGCAAUGCGCUUGGGGAUGGGCUCGCGUCCUAUUAGUUAGUUGGUGAGGUAACGGCUCACCAAGGCGAUGACGGGUAGCCGGUCUGAGAGGAUGUCCGGCCACACUGGAACUGAGACACGGUCCAGACACCUACGGGUGGCAGCAGUCGAGAAUCAUUCACAAUGGGGGAAACCCUGAUGGUGCGACGCCGCGUGGGGGAAUGAAGGUCUUCGGAUUGUAAACCCCUGUCAUGUGGGAGCAAAUUAAAAAGAUAGUACCACAAGAGGAAGAGACGGCUAACUCUGUGCCAGCAGCCGCGGUAAUACAGAGGUCUCAAGCGUUGUUCGGAAUCACUGGGCGUAAAGCGUGCGUAGGCGGUUUCGUAAGUCGUGUGUGAAAGGCGGGGGCUCAACCCCCGGACUGCACAUGAUACUGCGAGACUAGAGUAAUGGAGGGGGAACCGGAAUUCUCGGUGUAGCAGUGAAAUGCGUAGAUAUCGAGAGGAACACUCGUGGCGAAGGCGGGUUCCUGGACAUUAACUGACGCU